GGGAAAAUACUGGACCUGCGGCACCCAUGCCAAGCGGGUUUCAGGCGGGGGUUUGGCACCGCUCAUCACCUCUUUGUCAAGCAACACCUGGUCAGGCGGCAUCGGAUCGCGGGGCAGCCGUACAGAUAGACUUUGAGAAGGCCUUUGAUAGGGUGCCUCGCGAGCACAUGUGGCUUCGGUUGCAGGAGAGGGGGAUUAGCGACCCCAUGCUAGAUGCUCUGAGGAAAGCGUACGAGAAGGUGUCCAUGAUGAUUAAGGUAAAUGAGAAAGUGGGGGGAGAGUUUGAGUCUAAGCAAGGAGUGAAGCAAGGGUCUCCUCUAUCUACGGAGUUGUUUGGACUCUUCAUUGAGACACUAGCUGAUCUGAUUGAUACUCAUGACCUUGUAGAAGCUGGAGUGCGUAAGCAUGACACACCCCUUGUGGACAGCAAGCGCGUCUCCAUACUGUUGAUGUUGUUAUAGGGUGGUACAGCUUCACCAGUGGCCUCCUUCCCGAGGCAAUUCCCUGCUCUCCCCUGCUAGAGGGGCACCCUAAGCCAUUCACCCCAUCUGACUUCAGAGUGUACUCUUUGAAUUUGGCAACUCACCACCAGCAUCCAACCAAAUCUUGCGAAUCAACGGCGCCUCAACUUAGUUCCUGGUCAGCUCACGAAUUGAUUUUAUCACGUCCUACACCGUCCACAAGAUGGGGGGCCACCUCCCAUUUCACCACCUCUCGAACACUCGAGAGGUCGGCAGGCGGAUUUGAACCCGGGUCGACCGGGAGCAGAAGUCAGGCCUUAACUUCUGCCAGCCGCCCGCCUGUUGUAUGCAGACGAUGUUUGUCUGCUAUCGACGUCACUAGAGCGAAUGUCUGAGUUGCUACAUCUUGUGGACUUGUUUUGCGAAGCCUUUGGGAUGCGACCAAAUGUCUCAAAGUGUGAAAGGCUUGUUUUUGCAUGUGAUGCCACCCAGUCGGAACUUAGCGAGAGAUGUCAACAGUUACGGCUAUCAGGCCAGGUAAUACCUGCCAAAGAUAGCGCUCGCUAUCUGGGCUUGGUAUACGGGCCAGAACGGCCUUUUAGUGCGUGGAAAGGAGGUACCAUGUCCCCAGGGGGCAGCGGUUUUGCCGCUGUUGUGGUACUAAUAGCCGAAUAGAGGAUGAAAAACACGUGUUAUUGGAAUGCCCAGCCUAUAAUGAUAUUCGUGCUGAAGAGGGAUUCGAUCAUCAACAGAGCAUAUUGGAGGCCAUGAAAUGGGAACCAGUGCGUCUUGCGAGGAUGUUGGAACGUAUGUGGGCUCACCGAAACUCAGUUACCCCCUUUGGACGCCAGUCUGGGCUGAUGUGCGGUGUUUCCUGUUCUCUUUUAGGCAUAUACAUAUUUUGCCCUUGGGCCUUCGGCUCGUAUGGGUAGAGUUUUACAGGUAAUCGGGUCACGCACCCCCCAACCAUGUAACACACACACACGCAUGCAUACCUCAUACCGCUCGUCAUCAAAUCUCUAGAAAGGGGAAGGCUCAUCCCAUUGUUCUAAUUUAUUUGGCUCGUUGCGUUGACAAGAUCGACCAGCAGGUGUAAAGCGGCACCUCGCACCAAGCGAUACUGAUUGAUAACACCACCUCCGUCCAGUACCGCCAUUAGUAGUACCGCCAUAGUCUAUGAUUGUCCGAUGAAGUUACCUAUAUAUUAUAUCUUCCGCCAUUAUGACAAUCGGACCCCAAGGCCACAUCGAACUGUCACAAUUCGCGAGCUUCGCCAGUGACUUAAACAUGUGACAUGAGGUAGGUAGAACUGCUGGCUUUUGGACAUACAUACACAUGUAAACACAUUCCUAUAGAUAAAUACGAAGAAGGCGGCUGCGACUGCAGGAGAGCGGAGAACAUGACACCCCGGCCCGGGAACGUGAACUCCCCGAAAUGAACAAAAACACACGAGUCAACGCAACACCACCACACACGUUCUGGGCCCUUCUUGUAUCCUUGGCCCUAAACCUCCUCCUCCUCCUCCUCCUACUACUACUACUACUACUCCUACUACUACUACUACCUCUCCUCACUCUCGGAGUAGUCCAGAAGAGGUUAAGAAGGUGAGUUUCGGCGGGUCCCAACACCCCCCUCCCCCUCACCCCCGCUCCCCUCCUCCCCUUCCUCGGCGAUUACCAACACCCCCCUGUCGCCUGUCGCACCGAUACUGCCGCUCCCGCUCCUGCCGCUCCUGCUACUGCUCGUCAAUCGUAUGCCGCUGCUAUUGCUGCUGUUGCUGCCCGGGGUAGCGGUACGUGGCUGUCGUACAGCGGCGGGGACGCGCCAUGGACCCCGGGGGUUUUAGGGUUUUGGAAGGGUUAGGGUUUUGAUGGUUUUAGGGAUGGGGGUUUGGGAACAUGGGUAACUGUAUGCUAUAUGUUGAAUGUAUGUAUGUAUGUAUGUAUGUAUGUAUGUAUGUAUGUAUGUAUGUAUGUAUGUAUGUAUGUAUGUAUGUAUGUAUGUAUGUAUGUAUGUAUGUAUGUAUGUAUGUUUAUGUAUGUUUAUGUAUGUUUGUGUAAGAGNGGGGGAAGAGCAAACGACGCGCGUGCGUGUGAA
rnacentral:lncRNA from 1 species